rnacentral:lncRNA from 1 species
CACAGAUUAAUAUCAGUUUAUUUGAACAGCCAAAAACUGAGAAUAAGGUAAAUGGUUAAACAAAUUGUGGCACACACAUAUGGAAUGCUAUUCAGGAAAAUAAAUGGACUACUGAUACACACAAAAACUUGGAUUAAUCUCUAGAGAAGUACACCAAAUGCAAGAAAUCAGUCCCAUAAGGUUGCAUAUUGUAUUAUUCCAUUUAUAUAACAUUUCUGAAAUCAUAACAUUUUUAAUGGAGGACAGAUUCUUGUGUUGCCAAGGUUUAGGAAUGGGGGUAGAAUGGUGGGAAGUGGGUAAGUGUUGUUAUAAAAGAUCUGUAUGUUGAAAACGUCAAAACGCUUAUGAGAGAAAUAAGGGAAAUCCAAAUCCUAAAUAAAUGGAAAUAUGUAUCAUAUUUGUGGUUUGGAACAAUAAAUAGUAGAAUGUCAGUUCUCUCUAGAUUUACCUAUAAAUUUAUUGCGAUCCCAAUGGAAAUUCCAGCAGGAGUUUUUGUAGACAUUAACAAGUUAAUCAAAUUUAUUUGGAAAAGCAGAAGAAACUAGAAUAGCCAAAACAUCUUUUGUCAAAGAGGAACAGAGCUGGAAGACUCGCACUCCCUGACUUCGAAACUUACUGUAAAGAUACAGCAAUCUAAACAUUGUGUCAGAGAAAGGAUAAACACAUAGAUCAUGGACCAUAAUUGAGAAUACAUAAAUAGACCUUCGUGUAUAUGGUCAAUUGAUUUUUGACAAAGUUGCAAGGGCAAAUCAAUGAAAAUAGUGGUUUAAAAAAAUGGUGCUGCAACAAUUGAAAGUCAAUAUACAAAACAAAUGAACCUCAAUCCAUAACUCAUCCCAUAUUCAAACUUAAUAGAUGAAGAUUUAAAUGUAAAACCUUCACUUAACAAAAAUUCUAGACACUGCACCACAGCAAAGAUAAAGAGUUUACCACUAAUAAACCCUCAAUGAAGGAACUUCCAAAGAUUGCCAUCAGAGAAAAGUAGUGGGUGAAGCCAAGAGGUAAUACAUGUGAACCUAAACUAGUAUUGGCUAUGUAAACUAACAAUAAUAAUGUUAUGUUACUGGUUAUGCAACAAAAAUAACGCAGAACUAAAACAGUGAGUAACAUGGUAUGUGUUCAGGAUGAUCAGAGAUAAAAAUGUUGGGACGCUGGGUGCAGUGGCUCACGCCUGUAAUCCCAGCACUUUGGGAGGCCAAGGCAGACAGAUCACCUGAGGUCAGGAAUUCCAGACCAGCCAGACCAACAUGGUGAAACCCUCUCUCUACUAAAUACAAAAAAUUAGCCAGCUGUGGUGGUGGGUGUGUGUAAUUCCAGCUACUUGGGAGGCUGAGGCAGGAGAAUCGCUUGAACCUGGGAGGUGGAAGUUGUAGUGAGCCAAGACUGUGCCACUGCAUUCCAGCCUGGGCAACAAGAGUGAAAACUCUGUCUCAAAAAAAAAAAAAAAAAAAUUGGAGCCAGGCGUGGUGGCUCACACCUGUAAUCCCAGCACUUUGGGAGGCCGAGGCUGGUGGAUCACCUGAGGUCAGGAGUUCGAGACCAGCCCGACCAACAUGGAGAAACCCCAGUCUCUACUAAAAAUACAAAAAUUAGCUGGGCGUGGUGUCAGGCACCUGUCAUCCCAGCUACUCAGGAGGCACAGAUUAAUAUCAGUUUAUUUGAACAGCCAAAAACUGAGAAUAAGGUAAAUGGUUAAACAAAUUGUGGCACACACAUAUGGAAUGCUAUUCAGGAAAAUAAAUGGACUACUGAUACACACAAAAACUUGGAUUAAUCUCUAGAGAAGUACACCAAAUGCAAGAAAUCAGUCCCAUAAGGUUGCAUAUUGUAUUAUUCCAUUUAUAUAACAUUUCUGAAAUCAUAACAUUUUUAAUGGAGGACAGAUUCUUGUGUUGCCAAGGUUUAGGAAUGGGGGUAGAAUGGUGGGAAGUGGGUAAGUGUUGUUAUAAAAGAUCUGUAUGUUGAAAACGUCAAAACGCUUAUGAGAGAAAUAAGGGAAAUCCAAAUCCUAAAUAAAUGGAAAUAUGUAUCAUAUUUGUGGUUUGGAACAAUAAAUAGUAGAAUGUCAGUUCUCUCUAGAUUUACCUAUAAAUUUAUUGCGAUCCCAAUGGAAAUUCCAGCAGGAGUUUUUGUAGACAUUAACAAGUUAAUCAAAUUUAUUUGGAAAAGCAGAAGAAACUAGAAUAGCCAAAACAUCUUUUGUCAAAGAGGAACAGAGCUGGAAGACUCGCACUCCCUGACUUCGAAACUUACUGUAAAGAUACAGCAAUCUAAACAUUGUGUCAGAGAAAGGAUAAACACAUAGAUCAUGGACCAUAAUUGAGAAUACAUAAAUAGACCUUCGUGUAUAUGGUCAAUUGAUUUUUGACAAAGUUGCAAGGGCAAAUCAAUGAAAAUAGUGGUUUAAAAAAAUGGUGCUGCAACAAUUGAAAGUCAAUAUACAAAACAAAUGAACCUCAAUCCAUAACUCAUCCCAUAUUCAAACUUAAUAGAUGAAGAUUUAAAUGUAAAACCUUCACUUAACAAAAAUUCUAGACACUGCACCACAGCAAAGAUAAAGAGUUUACCACUAAUAAACCCUCAAUGAAGGAACUUCCAAAGAUUGCCAUCAGAGAAAAGUAGUGGGUGAAGCCAAGAGGUAAUACAUGUGAACCUAAACUAGUAUUGGCUAUGUAAACUAACAAUAAUAAUGUUAUGUUACUGGUUAUGCAACAAAAAUAACGCAGAACUAAAACAGUGAGUAACAUGGUAUGUGUUCAGGAUGAUCAGAGAUAAAAAUGUUGGGACGCUGGGUGCAGUGGCUCACGCCUGUAAUCCCAGCACUUUGGGAGGCCAAGGCAGACAGAUCACCUGAGGUCAGGAAUUCCAGACCAGCCAGACCAACAUGGUGAAACCCUCUCUCUACUAAAUACAAAAAAUUAGCCAGCUGUGGUGGUGGGUGUGUGUAAUUCCAGCUACUUGGGAGGCUGAGGCAGGAGAAUCGCUUGAACCUGGGAGGUGGAAGUUGUAGUGAGCCAAGACUGUGCCACUGCAUUCCAGCCUGGGCAACAAGAGUGAAAACUCUGUCUCAAAAAAAAAAAAAAAAAAAUUGGAGCCAGGCGUGGUGGCUCACACCUGUAAUCCCAGCACUUUGGGAGGCCGAGGCUGGUGGAUCACCUGAGGUCAGGAGUUCGAGACCAGCCCGACCAACAUGGAGAAACCCCAGUCUCUACUAAAAAUACAAAAAUUAGCUGGGCGUGGUGUCAGGCACCUGUCAUCCCAGCUACUCAGGAGGCUGAGGCACCCACCACCACACCCGGCUAAUUUUUUGUAUUUUUAGUAGAGAUGGGGGUUCACCAUGUUAGCCAGGAUGGUCUCGAUCUCCUGACCUAGUAAUCUGCCCACCUCGGCUUCCCAAAAUGCUGGGAUUACAGGCGUGAGCCACCGCACCCAGCCAACUGUAUCAAUAAUCACAAAUCAUAUAAACUCAUCGGUUUAAAAGCAGAAUGUCGCAUUAUGCUUUAAAAUAUUCCAUGUAUAUGUUUAUAAAAUAAAUGCAUAAAAAUGUUAUAAAAAGUGAGUAUGAGUGGAAAAAUAUAUACCUGGCAAACAUUAAUUGGGUAACAUAAGCUUUAGGGAAACCAUCGUUAGGAAUAAAAAGGGUCAUUAUAUAAGGAUAAAAGUACAAUUUUCUAUGAAGAUAUAAUGAUUCUAUGUUCAAAAUUUCAAAUUAACAUAGACCAAAGAAUGUAUUAUACAAAAUAGGACAAUUAGAGGAAUAAACUACAAAUCCACAUUACCAUUUGGAAAUUUUUGCACACUUUUCUUAGGAAUUGAUAGAGCAGGACAGCACAUAAUUGGUAAGUGAUCUGGUUUGGCUGUGUCCCCACCCAAAUCUCUUCUUGAAUUGCAGCUCCCUUAAUUCCCACAUGUGGGAGGGACCUGGUGGGAGAUAACUUGUUUUGGCUAUGUCCCCACCCAAAUCUCAUCUUGAAUUGCAGCUCCCACAAUUCCCACAUAUUGUGGGAGGGACCCAGUGGGAGAUAACUGAAUCUUGGGAGUGGUUUCCCUGAUACUGUUCUCAUGGUAGUGAAUAAGUCUCAUGAGAUCUGGUGAUUUGACAAGGGGUUUCCUUUUUGCUUGGUGCUCUGAUUCUCUCUUGCCACCAGCAUGUCAGAAGUGCCUUUCACCCACCAUGAUUAUGAGGCCUCCCCAGCCACAUGGAACUGUGAGUCCAUUAAACCUCUUUUACUUUAUAAAUUACUCAGUCUUGGGUAUGUCUUUAUCAGCAGCGUGAAAAUGGACUAAUACAGUAAGUAUAUGAAAAAUUUGAUUUAUACAAUGAAUACGGUGGGUUUAACUGAUAUAGGCACCCACCACCACACCCGGCUAAUUUUUUGUAUUUUUAGUAGAGAUGGGGGUUCACCAUGUUAGCCAGGAUGGUCUCGAUCUCCUGACCUAGUAAUCUGCCCACCUCGGCUUCCCAAAAUGCUGGGAUUACAGGCGUGAGCCACCGCACCCAGCCAACUGUAUCAAUAAUCACAAAUCAUAUAAACUCAUCGGUUUAAAAGCAGAAUGUCGCAUUAUGCUUUAAAAUAUUCCAUGUAUAUGUUUAUAAAAUAAAUGCAUAAAAAUGUUAUAAAAAGUGAGUAUGAGUGGAAAAAUAUAUACCUGGCAAACAUUAAUUGGGUAACAUAAGCUUUAGGGAAACCAUCGUUAGGAAUAAAAAGGGUCAUUAUAUAAGGAUAAAAGUACAAUUUUCUAUGAAGAUAUAAUGAUUCUAUGUUCAAAAUUUCAAAUUAACAUAGACCAAAGAAUGUAUUAUACAAAAUAGGACAAUUAGAGGAAUAAACUACAAAUCCACAUUACCAUUUGGAAAUUUUUGCACACUUUUCUUAGGAAUUGAUAGAGCAGGACAGCACAUAAUUGGUAAGUGAUCUGGUUUGGCUGUGUCCCCACCCAAAUCUCUUCUUGAAUUGCAGCUCCCUUAAUUCCCACAUGUGGGAGGGACCUGGUGGGAGAUAACUUGUUUUGGCUAUGUCCCCACCCAAAUCUCAUCUUGAAUUGCAGCUCCCACAAUUCCCACAUAUUGUGGGAGGGACCCAGUGGGAGAUAACUGAAUCUUGGGAGUGGUUUCCCUGAUACUGUUCUCAUGGUAGUGAAUAAGUCUCAUGAGAUCUGGUGAUUUGACAAGGGGUUUCCUUUUUGCUUGGUGCUCUGAUUCUCUCUUGCCACCAGCAUGUCAGAAGUGCCUUUCACCCACCAUGAUUAUGAGGCCUCCCCAGCCACAUGGAACUGUGAGUCCAUUAAACCUCUUUUACUUUAUAAAUUACUCAGUCUUGGGUAUGUCUUUAUCAGCAGCGUGAAAAUGGACUAAUACAGUAAGUAUAUGAAAAAUUUGAUUUAUACAAUGAAUACGGUGGGUUUAACUGAUAUAGGACACCACACAAAAUGGGAUAUAAUCUAAAGUGGCACUUACUGGAAA